rnacentral:lncRNA from 1 species
GAGCUCGAAGAAGAUUCUGAGGCCGAUCCACCGAGCCCGCCGGAUGUCCUGGCGGAGGGAAGCAUGAGAAUAAGUGGGCUCUGUUCUGAGUUUCUGAGUUCAAUCUUGUCUGUCCAGGGGUGCUUCUGGAGGAUUUCCAGCAGGAUCGAUGGGGGCGAAUCCGAGGGCUCCUUCAACACAGAGCCCUCCGAGCAAGGAGAAAUGGAUUUACAGGCACUGCUGUCAGGGGCGAGUCGCCUUCGCGAGCAAGGGGUGGAGGUGGAGGCCAGGUUUUCCGGGUACGAGGAGAAGACAAGGAAGGAGAAGAGAGACUUGGAGGACCGGAUUUUGGGUUUAACCCAGGAGAAUGCCGACAUCAGCCGCUUGCUUCGGAUAGCUCUGGUGGAGAAGGAAGCAGCAGAGAAGAGCCUGAACAGGCUCAAAGGAAGCGGGGAGCAGAGGAGGACGGCCAUAGUAAAAAUUGCAGAAUGGGGGUUGCAGAAGGCCGGGUUCGGGUUCUUGAGGGGAGGGUCAGCCGAGGAGUCUCCAAGUGAGCACCCGACCAGCUGCAAUGCCAGCAUGGCGUCAGAUAUCAGUGAAUGCGAGGAAGAGGAGGAGGAGGAGGAGACCAGCCUGGUAACCUGCUUGGUUAAAUUCUCCUGCAUAUGGUCUAAGAAUACAUGCCAAAUGAGUAUCUAUUCUGUCUCUUGGUUUGUAUUUGCCCCGCUAAUAAAUAAAACGAGACAGAAUUUCGAAUGCACAGGAUUAGGAAAUAUUCAGAGUGAAAUGAUAAAUAUGGAUGAUAAUGGAUAAUUCUUGGUGAACUAACUCAUAUCAUAAUAAGGUUUUCCCCAGAUGACCAAGGAAAUCUAUUGGGGUUAGGCAGCCAUCAGAGACCGAACCACAUGACCAAUUUGUAGUUGUCUAGAUGCAGAGAGAAGUCAAGAUCUGGUUAAGGAACCUGAUCUUGUAUCUGAGGCAUGGUGGAUUAUUGAUUAAUGCAAUUAAUGUAUUUGAAAAAUAUAAGUAAAAAUAAAAAAGGGCACAUGGACGUAAUAAAAAAUAGCACUAGUUUUGAAUUCCAAUAGGAGCCUAGAUCCUAGUGUCUAUAUUAGAGGGAAACUCUGUUAUGAAAUUCUCCUUUCCCUCGUCACUUUAGUUUUCUUAUUGGAAAGAAACUGUUUCUUCGAUAUAAUAUUUUUCUAGUUGUUAUAUUGAAUUCACUGAGUUUAUAUGUUUUUCCUGUUGGAUCUUUUUUGACCAGGCCUCUGCAGUCGAAAAGAUAGUAAAAAAUCUACGCCAUGAGGUCACAGAAUUACGAUGUUCUUUAGGGGAGCAAAGGUGGUUCUAUAGAAAUCUGCAGUGUUUAAAUAUUCUCAUAUUUCCUUUUUCACCUAGUUUUUAAAACGAAAUAUCAUAAUUUAAAGUAAGAUAUGGAGAAAAAAAAUUCAGUAUAUUUGAAUCAUGUGGGUUUCCAAGACACUGAAUGAGUAUGCGGAACGGGAAACAGAACAAAUCAGUGGCAGUUCAAGAAGAUACUGGUCUACAUUUUAUAAGAUAAGAACGAUGAAGAGGGAAAUGAUGCUGUAGAUUUCAAUGAAAGGAUAAUAAUUUUCACUAUCCACUUUCUCUAAAUUUCAUGGGAGGCUCGUCUGUAAACCACCUGCCGUGAAACCAUUUAUUCAUAGGUACUCGUUUGACUGUUCAGUUUUUCCAGAAACUAAUAGUUUUAAACACCAGGAUUCAUCCGCUCGACAGCGGAAAAACACACCCUUCUGCAACAUCAUAUGAAUGCAUCUCUUGAGAGUCUUCAUGAAUGGAACUACCCAUGCCUUUCGUAAGACCUAGACAAUGCCGCAAGCAGGAUCUUCUUCCACAUUCUUCCAUUGAUUUCCAUUGUCUCUUCAGCAUCAGAAGGAAGGAGAUUGUAAUUUUCGACCUCAAUUAGACUCAUUUAAAGCCACGCACUACGAGAGCUAUUCAGAACCUCGAUGCUACUGAUGCUCAUGAUUUUCACAGUAGAGCAUGAUGUGGAGCACAGAUUGUGGAAUGACCAGAGAUGGAGUUCUUCACAAUAAAACACGUGUUAUUUUUUUCCUACUUUGUAAUGUGCUCAGUGCCACGUUGAAAUCAACAAUGCCGCCCAUGUACUCUUCCUUAGAUGAUCAUUUUCAUCAUCAUACCUCUCCCAGAGAAUUUGAUUCAGUGUUGACAUCCAGGCUUGCCUUUUCCUCAUUGUUGGACUCGGAUCGAGUCCAAUCCUGCCAUCCAGAACCACUGGGUCUAUAGAUUACACAUCUGAAGAAGAUUCUGUGCAUGUUAGAAGUUUCCUUGGGUUCGAUUUGUCGGAUUCCACGUCGUUCAUUGGCCGCAUCUUCUUUUUCCUUUAAUUUAUGUCUUUCCUGGGAAAUUGAUUCUGGAUGUCGAUACUUUCCCAGAUCGGAGAAUGAACGCCUGCAAAGCUUGACAGAUAAACAAAUCAAGGAACUGGCCGAUAGAGAUCUCCAUAUAAAAAUUUCAGAAGAGAGGGAGAAUAUGCUGGCCCGAAAUGUAUCUAUCUCCUUCUAUUUUACAUCAGAUAUCCGGAAGUUUUCACAUCUCAUCUCUGGUAUCUCUCUUUUUCGUUUACAAAGGUUGAAGAGCUAAGUCUGGAGUUGAAAGGAGCAGAGGAUGAACUUGCAAGAUGGAGAGAAGCGUGUAAGUUGGAGGUAGAGGCGGGGAACAUUGCUAUCAGAGAAUGCCAAAGCGAGGUGAGCAAAAAGAAAGUGAUCACGUAUUUUUAUUUUCUGUGUUUCACCAUCAUGCAGGAGCGUUCAAAUUCAUUUCACAGAGACAGUUCUUGUGAUCUUUACCUUUGCCCUAUUCUGUCGACGCAAGCGCUCUGGAGUUUGAUCUAUCUCAUUAUAGAAUGCCUAUGGCCUCCGCACAUUGUGAAUCCUGAAAACUUCAUGUUGACGAAACUCAAGGUUUGUAAAUCUCCGGAAUGUUUCUCAUUCUCCACUGAGUGCAUCAUUCCUCC